ensembl:lincRNA
UUUAUUUUUCAGAGUCCUCAAGUAGUUGCUUUUUGUACUUCGAAUAAAGACUUUAGUCAUAGUAGGAGAGAUAGACUGUAAUGGACUUACUUCACCAUGGCUGCACCAGAGGUUCCAAGAACAAUGGCUUUCAACUUCAACCCACAUCUACAACACACCACUGUAGUCAUACCCUACACCCUGUGGUUAUCCAGUUGUGAGUCCUAUUGGAGAGGAUGAGUUCCUCACCCCUAAAACACAAAGACAAAUGGCAGUUUGGAGGUAAAAUGUUUGCUGAGCAACACAAAGCUUUAGAGUGAAUGCCCAAAGAUCUUUGCCAUCACCUUCUCUUCUGCAGAUAAUGCAGUGACUGGGAGAGGAGAAGGGAGAAAUGUGAGCUGUCACUUAUGAUUUGCAUGCAUCUGAAUACACAUUGUAUACACACUAACUCAAAGUGGUUCACGAGAUAUUCCCAUUAACUCGCGGUGAUGGCAUCUGCAUUUUAUAAUGUCAAAGGAGCUCACUGGAAAUAAUAGACUUGAGAAUAAC